CCUAACACAUGGCAGAAGGGGAGAAGGGGAAACAAGUGUCCUCAGAAGCACCUUGCAGGGGGUGGAGGGGCUGAGCCCACAGUGGGGCAGCACCACGUCAGGUGCCCCGGCCCUCAACCCCAGUUCCUUUUCUCCUCUCUGGACCUGCCAUCUACUGGCCCCGAGGAGGUUUCACAUGAUUUGGUGUCAAG